GCCCCGCCACCGCAGCGCCGCCGGCAGGGCGCUGCCCCGGUCCGGUCCACAGGGGCGGCUGGGCCUCAGGGGGAAGGAGGAGCUGGGCCCCGCUGCGCGACCUUGGCUCCCAGCGCCUCCCGCUCUCGACGGAGGCGUAAUCCAGCAGCACGCCAUCAAGAGAGGUCCCCUCCACAAUAUGAAACAAUCAAUAAUUUUGAUCAAAGGAUGAACAAUAGCUCUCUUCACAUCUUGAAAAUUUACCUGACAUUUACUACAAGUCAGAAGACUGAAUUCACUAGCCAAAGACAAGGGCGUUGCCACCAGCAAUGUCCAGAGAUGACCAUCUGAUAAGAUACCCAACACCCUGCUACCUUCAGAUAUGCGGAAUGAUGUUGGCAUUUCUAUUAUGGAACUGGAAAGAAAUUUCACAGAAAGCCUGGGUAAGAACAGUUAGGAGGAGGAACAGAGAUACUACCUCUACAGCAUACAACCUGCAAUUGAAUUCUACUUUCCCAUCUCUUCUUGGGACUUGCUGCACACUGCGUGGACAUCUUCAGAGAACUAUCCACAAUGACUCCGAGAUCACUU